rnacentral:rRNA from 1 species
CCCCAGACUCCUACGGGAGGCAGCAGUGGGGAAUAUUGCACAAUGGGGGGAACCCUGAUGCAGCGACGCCGCGUGAGUGAAGAAGUCUUUCGGUAUGUAAAGCUCUGUCAGCAGGGAAGAAGAAAGACGGUACCUGACCAAGAAGCCCCGGCUAACUACGUGCCAGCAGCCGCGGUAAUACGUAGGGGGCAAGCGUUAUCCGGAUUUACUGGGUGUAAAGGGAGCGCAGACGGCAGUGCAAGUCUGGAGUGAAAGCCCGGGGCCCAACCCCGGGACUGCUCUGGAAACUGUACGGCUAGAGUACGGGAGGGGCAGGCGGAAUUCCUAGUGUAGCGGUGAAAUGCGUAGAUAUUAGGAGGAACACCGGCGGCGAAGGCGGCCUGCUGGACCGAAACUGACGUUGAGGCUCGAAAGCGUGGGGAGCAAACAGGAUUAGAUACCCGAGUA